rnacentral:rRNA from 1 species
AGAGUUUGAUCCUGGCUCAGGACGAACGCUGGCGGCACGCUUAACACAUGCAAGUCGAACGAGAGAAGAGGAGCUUGCUUUUCUGAUCUAGUGGCGGACGGGUGAGUAACACGUGAGCAAUCUGCCUUUCAGAGGGGGAUACCGAUUGGAAACGAUCGUUAAUACCGCAUAACAUAAUUGAACCGCAUGAUUUGAUUAUCAAAGAUUUAUCGCUGAAAGAUGAGCUCGCGUCUGAUUAGCUAGUUGGUAAGGUAACGGCUUACCAAGGCGACGAUCAGUAGCCGGACUGAGAGGUUGAUCGGCCACAUUGGGACUGAGACACGGCCCAGACUCCUACGGGAGGCAGCAGUGGGGAAUAUUGCACAAUGGAGGAAACUCUGAUGCAGCGAUGCCGCGUGAGGGAAGAAGGUUUUAGGAUUGUAAACCUCUGUCUUCAGGGACGAAAAAAGACGGUACCUGAGGAGGAAGCUCCGGCUAACUACGUGCCAGCAGCCGCGGUAAUACGUAGGGAGCGAGCGUUGUCCGGAAUUACUGGGUGUAAAGGGAGCGUAGGCGGGAUCGCAAGUCAGAUGUGAAAACUAUGGGCUUAACCCAUAAACUGCAUUUGAAACUGUGGUUCUUGAGUGAAGUAGAGGUAAGCGGAAUACCUAGUGUAGCGGUGAAAUGCGUAGAUAUUAGGAGGAACAUCAGUGGCGAAGGCGGCUUACUGGGCUUUAACUGACGCUGAGGCUCGAAAGCGUGGGGAGCAAACAGGAUUAGAUACCCUGGUAGUCCACGCCGUAAACGAUGAUUACUAGGUGUGGGGGGACUGACCCCUUCCGUGCCGCAGCAAGCGCAAUAAGUAAUCCACCUGGGGAGUACGACCGCAAGGUUGAAACUCAAAGGAAUUGACGGGGGCCCGCACAAGCAGUGGAGUAUGUGGAUUAAUUCGAAGCAACGCGAAGAACCUUACCAGGUCUUGACAUCGUAUGCAUAGCUCAGGGAUGAGUGAAAUCUCUUCGGAGACAUAUAGACAGGUGGUGCAUGGUUGUCGUCAGCUCGUGUCGUGAGAUGUUGGGUUAAGUCCCGCAACGAGCGCAACCCUUACUGUUAGUUGCUACGCAAGAGCACUCUGGCAGGACUGCCGUUGACAAAACGGAGGAAGGUGGGGAUGACGUCAAAUCAUCAUGCCCCUUAUGACCUGGGCCUCACACGUACUACAAUGGCUGUCAACAGAGGGAAGCAAAGCCGCGAGGUGGAGCGAACCCCUAAAAGCAGUCUUAGUUCGGAUUGUAGGCUGCAACCCGCCUACAUGAAGUCGGAAUUGCUAGUAAUCGCAGAUCAGCAUGCUGCGGUGAAUACGUUCCCGGGCCUUGUACACACCGCCCGUCACGCCAUGGGAGUCGGUAACACCCGAAGCCUGUAGUCUAACCGCAAGGAGGACGCAGUCGAAGGUGGGAUUGAUGACUGGGGUGAAGUCGUAACAAGGUA